UACAGAGGGGGCAAGCGUUGUUCGGAAUUACUGGGCGUAAAGGGCGCGUAGGCGGCCUGUUAAGUCGAACGUGAAAUCCCCAGGCUUAACCUGGGAACUGCAUCCGAUACUGGAUGGCUUGAAUCCGGGAGAGGGAUGCAGAAUUCCAGGUGUAGCGGUGAAAUGCGUAGAUAUCUGGAGGAAUACCGGUGGCGAAGGCGGCAUCCUGGACCGGCAUUGACGCUGAUGAGCGAAAGCUAGGGGAGCAAACGGG
rnacentral:rRNA from 1 species